rnacentral:rRNA from 1 species
GAUGAACGCUGGCGGCGUGCCUAAUACAUGCAAGUCGAGCGAACAGACGAGGAGCUUGCUCCUCUGACGUUAGCGGCGGACGGGUGAGUAACACGUGGAUAACCUACCUAUAAGACUGGGAUAACUUCGGGAAACCGGAGCUAAUACCGGAUAACAUGUUGAACCGCAUGGUUCAACAGUGAAAGACGGUCUUGCUGUCACUUAUAGAUGGAUCCGCGCCGCAUUAGCUAGUUGGUAAGGUAACGGCUUACCAAGGCAACGAUGCGUAGCCGACCUGAGAGGGUGAUCGGCCACACUGGAACUGAGACACGGUCCAGACUCCUACGGGAGGCAGCAGUAGGGAAUCUUCCGCAAUGGGCGAAAGCCUGACGGAGCAACGCCGCGUGAGUGAUGAAGGUCUUCGGAUCGUAAAACUCUGUUAUUAGGGAAGAACAAAUGUGUAAGUAACUAUGCACGUCUUGACGGCACCUAAUCAGAAAGCCACGGCUAACUACGUG